rnacentral:rRNA from 1 species
UGAACGCUGGCGGCGUGCCUAAUACAUGCAAGUCGAACGCACAGCGAAAGGUGCUUGCACCUUUCAAGUGAGUGGCGAACGGGUGAGUAACACGUGGAUAACCUACCUCAAGGUUGGGGAUAACAUUUGGAAACAGAUGCUAAUACCGAAUAAAACUUCGUAUCGCAUGAUACAAGGUUAAAAGGCGCUACGGCGUCACCUAGAGAUGGAUCCGCGGUGCAUUAGUUAGUUGGUGGGGUAAAGGCCUACCAAGACAAUGAUGCAUAGCCGAGUUGAGAGACUGAUCGGCCACAUUGGGACUGAGACACGGCCCAAACUCCUACGGGAGGCUGCAGUAGGGAAUCUUCCACAAUGGGCGAAAGCCUGAUGGAGCAACGCCGCGUGUGUGAUGAAGGCUUUCGGGUCGUAAAGCACUGUUGUAUGGGAAGAACAGCUAGAGUAGGGAAUGACUUUAGUUUGACGGUACCAUACCAGAAAGGGACGGCUAAAUACGUGCCAGCAGCCGCGGUAAUACGUAUGUCCCGAGCGUUAUCCGGAUUUAUUGGGCGUAAAGCGAGCGCAGACGGUUGAUUAAGUCUGAUGUGAAAGCCCGGAGCUCAACUCCGGAAAGGCAUUGGAAACUGGUCAACUUGAGUGCAGUAGAGGUAAGUGGAACUCCAUGUGUAGCGGUGGAAUGCGUAGAUAUAUGGAAGAACACCAGCGGCGAAGGCGGCUUACUGGACUGUAACUGACGUUGAGGCUCGAAAGUGUGGGUAGCAAACAGGAUUAGAUACCCUGGUAGUCCGCACCGUAAACGAUGAACACU